CUCCCACCCGGUGGCCGGUCGCCCAGCCCCAACCGAUGGCGGGGGUGGGGCCUGCGGGCCGUGCUACCGCCCUGGGCCGCCAUUGCCGGGCCUCUCGCUCCGCGCCGUGGAGCUUCCUCGCCUCGCCUCGCCUCGCCGAGCAGAGCGGGGCAGCCGGCCUGACGGGGCUGCCCCUGACCGAGCUCGCAUUCCCCCCACCGCCAGGCAAGUCUCUGGCCGGCCCGGCCCGCGUCGCCGACCUCCAGGCCCGGGGGGCCGGGGGGAGCCUGAGCUGGGGCCUCCCACGCCCGCGUCCGGGAGAAGCACUUCCACUUCCCAGGCCCAGAGGCUCCCGUGGGCACGAUCGUGAGCCUCCAGGUUUCCGAGGCCCCUCUGGUCCCAGCCGGGCUUCUCUCCGCCUUCCCGAGGAGCCUGGCCAGAGCGCACGGUCCACAAACGCUGCACCUGACGGCUGCCCCACCCCAGCGGGAGAAGUGGACAUGAGGUUGGCAGGUCCCCUCCGCAUCGUGGCCCUGGUCAUCACCGUGGGCCUCACCUGGCUCGUAGCCAGCAUCCUCCUUGGUGGGCCUGGCGGUGGCUUUCCUCGCAUCCAGCAACUCUUCGCCAGCCCAGAGAACUCAGUGACUGCAGAGCCGAGGGCCAGGAAGUACAAAUGCGGCCUGCCUCAGCCAUGUCCCGAGGAGCACCUGGCCUUCCGCAUGGUCAGCGGGGCUGCCAACGUCAUUGGACCCAAGAUCUGCCUGGAGGACAGGAUGCUCAUGAGCAGCGUCAAGGACAACGUGGGCCGGGGACUGAACAUCGCCCUGGUGAACGGGGUAAGCGGAGAGCUCAUCGAGGCCCGCGCCUUCGACAUGUGGGCGGGAGAUGUCAAUGAUCUACUGAAGUUUAUCCGGCCGCUGCAUGAAGGCACCCUGGUGUUUGUGGCUUCCUACGAUGACCCAGCCACCAAGAUGAAUGAAGAGACCAGGAAGCUUUUCAGCGAUCUGGGCAGCAAGAAUGUCAAGGACCUGGCCUUCCGGGACAGCUGGGUGUUUGUAGGGGCCAAGGGUGUGCAGAACAAGAGCCCCUUUGAGCAGCACGUGAAGAACAGUAAGCACACCAAUAAGUACGAAGGCUGGCCCGAGGCGCUGGAGAUGGAAGGCUGCAUCCCCAGGAGGACCACGGCCAGCUAGAGGCCAAGCUCGAGGACCAGACUCAGUGAGGCUGUGUGUACCCAGCCGGAGGAGGCGCCGGCACAGCGCUGAGGCCCGACCCCACGCGCAGCCAGGAGCGCUCCGCCCCAGCACAUCAGGGCUACGAGGCGGUGACCAGUGACCAGACCAUGCCCAGCGGUGGGGCUGCGCUGCGGCCCCGUGGCGCUUUGUCUGGGGACCCCAGGGAAGGCCUCUAAAUUCCUUCAUGUCGGACAGCCCACCCGCCCACUCUGGCUUUUCAGGGAAGACUGAAGGGACUGAUGAUAGCGGGGAGCAGCCUUCUAACUACAUUUGCUCUCCUUGACCCCUGGCACCAAUUCCCGUCCAGUUGGAAUAUCAAAACGCAGGUUUCCUCAAGAGCAAACACAUCUUUUAGGUUUUCCAUCCCCAGUUCUUCCAGCUGACCCACCCCCCUUCUCCCUGUGGCCAGUUUUACCCCAUCCUCAGACAGCGACAGCACCGCUGCUCUUGCGCAAACUGCAGUCUUCAACACAGCGUGUGCCAAGCUCGGCCUUCUCGCCUGUGCCAGCCUGCUUCCGUCAGGACACCUCAACCCAUCUGAGAGGGACGGUACAGACUUUCUGGGACACCAAGUCCACACACACAAAUGGCUUAUGAACUGAGACUAAAGAACAGCCUAGAGCUAUGGCCUCUGAAUGUUUCUGGAUCAUUGACAUAAAUCAAACCCUGAGUGUGUACCCUCACCAUGUGUGUGCUUACAUGUCACACGCAUGUACUAAUCUGAACUUUAUAGCACACAUACACAAGUAGAAUUUUUAAAUAAGUAAAAUGUAUUUAAAUAAGGCUAAAUUAAAAU